UACGGGGGGGGUAAGCGUUGUUCGGAAUUACUGGGCGUAAAGGCUCGUAGGCGGCCAACUAAGUCAGACGUGAAAUCCCUCAGCUUAACUGGGGAACUGCGUCUGAUACUGGAUGGCUUGGAUCCGGAAGAGGGAUGCGGAAUUCCAGGUGUAGCGGUGAAAUGCGUAGAUAUCUGGAGGAACACCGGUGGCGAAGGCGGCAUCCUGGACCGGCAUUGACGCUGAGGAGCGAAAGCCAGGGGAGCAAACGGG
rnacentral:rRNA from 1 species